rnacentral:lncRNA from 1 species
CCUGCCCAAAAUCCUCUUUGUGACACUUGGGGUGGGGACAGUUCCCAUUUUCCCUCCCCAAAUCCCCAUUUUCCCACCCCAAAUCCCCAUUUUCCCCUCGGGAAGGUGCUCAGCACCCUCGCGACUCAUCCUGCACCCUCGGGACUCAUCCUGCACCCUCGGGAUGGUGCUCAGAACACUCGAGACUCAUCCUGCACCUUCGGGACUUAUCCUGCAUAUUUGGGAUGGUGCUGAGCAUCCUCGGGACUCAACCUGCACUGUCAGGACUCAUCCUGCACCCUCGGGAUGCUGCUGAGCACCCUCGGGACUCAUCCUGCACCCUCGGGACUCAUCCUGCACCCUCGGGACUCAUCCUGCACCCUCGGGAUGGUGCUGAGCACCCUCGGGACAGUGCUCAGCACCCUCGGGAUGGUGCUCCUCACCGUUGGGACUCAUCCUGCACCCUCGAAACGGUGCUCAGCACCUUCGGCACUCAUCCUGCACCUUCGGGACUCAUUCUGUGACAGUGACAGUGCCACCCCCUGUCCCCAGGUGACGUUUGACAACCUCGCCCACAGCGGGCGAGUGAGGAUCUGCCUGGACACCCUCGUGGCCAUCUGGGAGUGCCACCACCCCUCGCUGCCUGGCACAGGUGACAGCGGGUGACAAUGGGUGACAAUGGGUGACAGUGGGCUGUGUGGGUGUCCCCUGGGAGUGCCACCACCCUGCCAUGCCUGGCAGAGGUGACACCAUGGUGGCACCUGGCCCCAAAGGUGACCCUGGAUGUCCCCAGGCCUUGGGAAGUGACCCCAGGUGUCCCGGAGGGUGACCCCAGGUGUCCCCAAAGGUGACCCCUAGUGUCCCCAAGGGUGACCCCAGAUGUCCCCAAAGGUGACCCCUAGUGUCCCCGAGGGUGUCCCCAGGCGUCCCUGAGGGUGACCCCGGGUAUCCCUGAGGAUGUCCCCAGGUGUCCCCAAAGGUGUCCCCAGGUAUCCCCAAAGGUGUCCCCAGGUGUCCCUGAGGAUGUCUCCAGGUGUCCCCAAAGGUGACCCCGGGUGUCCCAAAGGUGUCCCCGAGGGUGUCCCCGGGUGUCCCUGAGGGUGACCCCGGCUGUCCCCGAGGUGACCCCGGCUGUCCCCGUCCCCACAGGUGGACGCCUGGCGUUUGACGUGUUGGUGACAGC